GACGAACGCUGGCGGCGUGCCUAAUACAUGCAAGUAGAACGCUAAAGCCCUGCCUUUCUUCUCUGCAUGAGUUGCGAACGGGUGAGUAACACGUAAGUAACCUGCCUUUUAGUUUGGGAUAACUAUUGGAAACUGUGGCUAAUACCGGAUAGUAGCACCUGUUGCAUGGUGACUGUUUGAAAGGUUCGGUGGUUGGGCUAGCACUUGGGGCUUAUCUGCUUUUUGGUGGGGUAGUGGUUUACCAAGGCCUUGACGGGUAGCCGGCCUGAGAGGGUGACCGGCCACAUUGGGACUGGGAUACGGCCCAGACGCCUACGGGAGGCAGCAGUGGGGAAUAGUGCACGAUGGGCGGAAGCCUGAUGCAGCAACGCCGCGUGCGGGAUGACGGCCUUAGGGUUGGAAACCGCGUUCGCCUGGGACGAAGCGUGAGUGACGGUAAUGGGUAAAGAAGCACCGGCUAACUACGUG
rnacentral:rRNA from 1 species